rnacentral:lncRNA from 1 species
GAAUGCUGUGCCUGCCAGUGCAGCUGAACGCCUAUAGAGGGCACCAGAUCCUAUUAUAGAUGGCUGUGAGCCUCCAUGUGGGUGCUGGGAACUGAACUCAGGACCUCUGGAGGAUCAGCCAGUGAUCUUAACCAUUGAGCCAUCUCUCCAGCUCCCAUAAUUUGUACUUCUAAAUUGAAUACAGAGAUUUAUUAUAAAUCAAGGAGAACAUAACGGUAAAGAUGUAGACGUUGCCACGAAGGAGUUGUAGCAGGUAACCACAAGAAAAGCAAAUGUAAGUCAGAUGACUGGCUGCAAGGUUUGCUUUGCACAGAGAGACUCCCCCCCCCAUACCUAGCCUUGCUUUGAGGUAUUGAUAGCCCACUAAUUACCAUCUUUCUGUGCAGAUUGAAGUCGGACUGGUUGUUGGAAAUAGUCAAGUUGCAUUUGAAAAAGCAGAAAAUUCAUCGCUCAAUCUUAUUGGCAAAGCUAAAACCAAGGAAAAUCGCCAGUCAAUCAUCAAUCCUGACUGGAACUUUGAGAAAAUGGGAAUCGGCGGUCUGGAUAAGGAGUUUUCAGAUAUUUUCCGACGAGCAUUUGCUUCUCGGGUGUUCCCUCCGGAGAUUGUGGAGCAGAUGGGUGAGUUUCUGACCCAAGGCUGGUGCUCCUGAGGAAGCACACAGCUGACAGACGCUUGCCAAAGUAGUUCUGAAAUGAUUUUUCAAAUCCACCUGAG